rnacentral:lncRNA from 1 species
AGAAAAAUAGGUGUUGGUUACUUUGUACAAAUGGACACGUGUAUUUGGCAGCUCUGGAUGUUACACUUCAUAUGUUCUUUCCUGCAAUUUUCAACCCCUGUUCCCUUAUUUUCUUCCCUGGUAGUUCUCCAGAUCACUGAAAGCAGUUUGUUCAGCAACGUGGAGUCAUUAGAGAGCUUCUUCUCCACCACACCUCAAUGGCAGCAAGCUGUUUUCCAGAGGUGUGACCAUUGCCAAAUGUACUUCUCUAAGCGAGUCUGGAAAGACACUAACUCACCAAGUUCUGUGUGGAGCUGACCAGUGCCCCAAGGCUCACUCUGAAAGUGCACCAAGGAUGCAGAGAAGGAAUGAGACGUUCUCUCAGCGCAUGGAUAUUUGGUGCCAAAACCAACAGAUGAGGUAGUAAACACACCAAGAAGUUUUAAUGUGACUUAAUGAAAACACUGCUGCCCAGUGUUUUGAAAACAAGCAACUGAAGCACAGCCUCUUACAGAAACAGUCCUGGGGUACAGAGGAGAAGCAGAGCCCUGAGCAGGGAGAAUCACAGGAGGCAGAAGAAGGAGUUGGGGAUCCUGAAGGCCUUGUCCUAGCUCCCUGUCUGCUUCUGCAUGCCAGGACCCAGAUGUAGGGCUGCUACAGAUGGUUUUCAUCUCAUGACGUGCCCAUCUGGAAGAUAUAUCCAGCACAGGCUCUUCUGAGGAAAAUGCUUCCCUCAAAUACACUUGAAGCCUCUGAGAGAUUAAAUGUGAGUCUUGAGUGGAGUAAGAUUAUGAAUCCCUUAACAACAGUCUCUAUCUGUGUUAGCCAAGUAACAUUUCUGACUCUGACCCAGCCUCUCAAGACCUUCUACAGAGGAAUACCAAUGACCUAGGCCUUCAUUAUCCUGUCAUUACACAAAUCCUGCUGUUAAUUUAUGUAUAGGAAAGAAGUAGCAGCUACAUAAGGCUCCAUCAGCUGCAUAAUUGCUGCAUAUAUUAUGAAACAGCAGCAAAUGCAGUCUGUGAAUACAAACCAUCUCAGCUCAUUAGAAACCUGCAAGAAUUAAUUAACUG